AGGUGCUGACCUCUCACUCAUGUUCUGAAGAAGGCCUAGAAGAUGCAGCCAAUGUUCUUCUUCAGCUUUCAAGAGGAGAUCCUGGGACAAGAGAUACUGUCUUGAAGUUGCUGUUAAAUGGUGCUAGACAGCUUGGGCAUACCUUAUGUAAACAAAUAGGUACCUUGCUUGCAGAAUUACGGGAAUAUAAUCUGGAGCAGCAGCGGAGAGCACAGUAUGAAACCCAUUCUCCAGAUGCUUUCCCAGAAGAGCAGCCACAGACCACUAAACUAAAAGGCAAAAUGCAGAGCAGGUUUGAUGCAGCUGAGAAUGUGGUUAUUGUUGCAUCUCAUAAGCGACCUCUUGGUGGUCGGGAGCUUCAGCUGCCUUCUAUGUCUAUGCUGACCUCAAAGACAUCCACCCAGAAGUUCUUCUUGAGAGUCUUACAAGUUAUUAUCCAGCUGCGAGAUGACACCCGCAGAGCCUGCAAGAAGACUAAACAGACUGGCAGA